rnacentral:rRNA from 1 species
CAAAACUAUUCAAUACGGGGUGCAGCAGGCGCGAAACCUUUACACUGCACGACAGUGCGAUAAGGGAAUCCCAAGUGCGUAGGCAUAGAGCCUACGCUUUUGUCUACCGUAGGGAGGUAGACGAAUAAGGGCUGGGCAAGACCGGUGCCAGCCGCCGCGGUAAUACCGGCAGCCCGAGUGAUGGCCGAUCUUAUUGAGCCUAAAGCGUCCGUAGCUGGCCGCGCAAGUCUAUCGGAAAAUCCACCCGCUCAACGGGUGGGCGUCCGGUAGAAACUGCGUGGCUUGGGACCGGAAGGCGCGACGGGUACGUCCGGGGUAGGAGUGAAAUCCUGUAAUCCUGGACGGACCGCCGAUGGCGAAAGCACGUCGCGAAGACGGAUCCGACAGUGAGGGACGAAAGCUAGGGUCUCGAACCGGAUUAGAUACCCGGGUAGUCCUAGCCGUAAACAAUGCCUGUUAGGUGUGGCUCCCACUACGAGUGGGUGCUGUGCCGUAGGGAAGCCGCUAAACAGGCCGCCUGGAAGUACUCGCUGUCCUUUC